AGUUUAGGAAGAAAACUCAAAAAGAGACUUGUCCCACAUUCAUUCUCUCUCACCCCCAGGCAAGGAAUUUGAAACGGACCCAGGAGUCCUGGCUUGAGGCCACGGCUCCAAGAUGAGUUCCCCAUCUAUAAAAUUGGGACACACUGGAGAGGAAAUCGUAAGAAUACUCCUUGCUCUCAAGAAAUUCACAGUCUAAUAGGAGAAACAGAUACCCUAUGAAGAAAAGUAUUCACAGUAGCACAUCUCCUAUCAGGGGAAAAAAGUGGAAACAAAGUGCAUUCCCAUUGAAUGGCUGAAAAGAAACAUGGGAAGGCUUGUAUGUGCUCAUAUACAACAAAGUAAACAGAACCAGCAGGACAAUAUGUACAAUGAUUAUGAUAAGGAAAGACCAAGACAUUUGGUGACCUUGUGAGAUUAUUGAAAGUGUACUCAGUGAGACCAUCAGUGGUAUGGCAGAGAUUUAAAUUUCACAAAUGGAAUGAACAGCCUGCUCGGGGCAUUGCUAUUUAUAUUGCAGCACGGCAUCAUUUUUCUCAACACUGCAAUCUGGGAAAAUUCUUAGACAACAACCUAGGGGAUCAUAUUUACAAAAUGCAUGAUGAAGCCCUCUAUGGAACUUCUUAGUUAAAUUAUAUUUAUAAUUUCUUAUAAUCAAAGAAAAGGCUCCAUUACUAUCUUCCACUUAAGCUAAAAGGACAGCUGCUAAUGUAAGUGCUAUUCAUACCAUGAAGACAGAUAUUUCUCACCAAGAGAAUGAUAAGAAUACAAGUAAUAGAUGUUCUGCAAUAUCCACAGAUCAACUUUUGGCAGGCUAGGCUGAUAUUCUAAUCAUAGGCUCUAAGAAGUGGAAUACAAAUGCUAUAAAUUGAAGGACACCUUGAAAAGGUAUGCCGUUCAGAAUUCACAGGAGUAAAGCCCAGAAACUGUCAUAGCAAUUCAAAUCACUUGGAAUCAAAUGAUCUUGACUAUUUAUAUAAUCAGUUAAUUUCAGAAUUCUAUCAUAUUCACUGGGUCAAUUGUAAUAUACUCUAUAAUCAGUCAUGAGCACAAAAUGGAAGUUGACUCUGGUUGUGGUACAUUAAUAAUCAGUAAAGAUAUCUUCCGUAAUAUUUCCUCACAAGUUUCAUUGUAAAAGUUAUUGAGACCAUCAUUCAUCCUUUUAAAAAACACAUUGUUUUUUUUUUCUUGUGUUUAUAUCACUCACAUUUCCCAUUAUGUACCUUUUCAGAGAGUCACCCCUUAUAACAAAAAAAAAAGAAAAAAGUUUAGUAAAACUAAUAUAUCAAAAAAAAUCUAUACUUAUGCUUCCCCACUUUUGCCAAGAAUCUGAAGGAACUAUUUUCUCCUAUAAUCUCUUCAGGGCCAAAUUUGAUUAUUAUAAUUUCCAUUCAUUCCUUAAAAUGGUUUUUUUUUUGAUGCUUUUGUUUUUUUAUGCCACAAUUGUUUCCCAAUGUAACAUAUCUAACUCAAUUAGAAGCUUGCCCUGGAACAAAGAAAAAUAUUUUUAUGAAACUAACCAAUACAGCAAUCAUAAAAGAUAGUAUGUACUUAAUAUUUUGUGCCCAACGACCUUUUUUCUAAUUAAUGAAAUGUUUCAGCAUCUCUUCUCUGGGACCAUGAUUGUUCCUUCCAUUUCAUUUGAGAUCAGUUGUGUUUUAGUGCUGUUUCCCUUUACCUUAUUAUAGUCAUUAUGAAUAUUGUUCCAAUUCUGUUUACUUUAUUCUCUCUUCCCAUGUUUCUCUGAAUUCCUCAUUUUUAUUGUUCUCUAUGGUCAACAAUAUUCCAUUACAUUCAUAAACCACAAUCUGUUCAGUCAUUUUCUUCUAAUCGAUGGGUACCCAUUUUGCUUCUAGUCUUUCACUACCACAAA